rnacentral:rRNA from 1 species
AUUGAACGCUGGCGGCAUGCCUUACACAUGCAAGUCGAACGGCAGCACGGACUUCGGUCCGGUGGCGAGUGGCGAACGGGUGAGUAAUGUAUCGGAACGUGCCCAGUCGUGGGGGAUAACGUAGUGAAAAUUACGCUAAUACCGCAUACGAUCUAUGGAUGAAAGCGGGGGAUCGCAAGACCUCGCGCGAUUGGAGCGGCCGAUAUCAGAUUAGGUAGUUGGUGGGGUAAAGGCCCACCAAGCCAACGAUCUGUAGCUGGUCUGAGAGGACGACCAGCCACACUGGAACGGAGACACGGUCCAGACUCCUACGGGAGGCAGCAGUGGGGAAUUUUGGACAAUGGGCGAAAGCCUGAUCCAGCCAUUCCGCGUGCAGGAUGAAGGCCCUCGGGUUGUAAACUGCUUUUGUACAGAACGAAAAGGUUUCUACUAAUACUAGGAGCUCAUGACGGUACUGUAAGAAUAAGCACCGGCUAACUACGUGCCAGCCGCCGCAGUAA